rnacentral:rRNA from 1 species
UACGGAGGGGGCGAGCGUUAUUCGGAUUUACUGGGCGUAAAGGGUGCGUAGGCGGCCGCGCAAGUCUGGUGUGAAAUCUUCACCGCUCAACGGGAAGAGGUCACUGGAAACUGCGCGGCUCGAGUAUGGUAGAGGCAAGCGGAAUUCCUGGUGUAGCGGUGGAAUGUGUAGAUAUCAGGAAGAACACCCGUGGCGAAGGCGGCUUGCUGGGCCACUACUGACGCUGAGGCACGAAAGCGUGGGGAGCAAACGGGAUUAGAUACCCGCGUAGU